GUGAGGAAUUUUCCGCAAUGGGCGAAAGCCUGACGGAGCAAUGCCGCGUGAAGGAUGAAGGCCUAUGGGUUGUAAACUUCUUUUCUCAGAAAAGAAUUAUGACGGUAUCUGAGGAAUAAGCAUCGGCUAACUCUGUGCCAGCAGCCGCGGUAAGACAGAGGAUGCAAGCGUUAUCCGGAAUGAUUGGGCGUAAAGCUGCUGUAGGUUGUUUAAAAAGUAUUAUGUCAAAGAUUAGGGCUUAACCCUAGAUAGGCAGAAUAAACUUUUAAGCUAGAGUUUGGUAGAGGCAGAGGGAAUUCCCGGUGGAGCGGUGAAAUGCGUAGAUAUCGGGAGGAACACCAAAGGCGAAGGCACUCUGCUGGGCCAAUACUAACACUGAGAGACGAAAGCGAGGGGAGCAAAUGGGAUUAGAAACCCGAGUAGUCC
rnacentral:rRNA from 1 species